GAUGAAGAACGUAGCGAAAUGCGAUAAGUAAUGUGAAUUGCAGAAUUCAGUGAAUCAUCGAAUCUUUGAACGCACAUUGCGCCCGCCAGUAUUCUGGCGGGCAUGCCUGUUCGAGCGUCAUUACAACCCUCAGGCCCCCCGGCCUGGCGUUGGGGAUCGGCGGAGCCCCCCGUGGGCACACGCCGUCCCCCAAAUGCAGUGGCGGUCCCGCCGCAGCUUCCAUCGCGUAGUAGCUAACACCUCGCGACUGGAGAGCGGCGCGGCCACGCCGUAAAACACCCAACUCUUCUGAAGUUGACCUCGAAUCAGGUAGGAAUACCCGCUGAACUUAAGCAUAUCAAUAAGCGGAGGA
rnacentral:misc_RNA from 1 species